rnacentral:rRNA from 1 species
GUUAAUAUUCUUUAAAAUAGUAAUAUUUUUAUWWWAANUUUUAGUGUAUAUUAUAAAUUAAUAUUUAAAUAUUUAGGUGAAAAAUAUUGUGUAAGAAAUAAUUUAAAUUUUAUAUAUACCUUUAGUAUCACGGUUUGUAUCAAGGUGUAAUAAAAUUUUUAAUUUAUUUUAAUUUCUCAAAAUUUAUAGAGUUAAUUUUAUUAUUAAAUUAUUGUAUUAAAAAUAUUUAAAAAAUAAUAUUAGUUUUGAAAUUUAAUUCGUUAUAUUAUAUCUAGUUAUUUAAGAUUUAAAUUUAAUUUAAAAUUUUAAAAGUUUAAUUUAAUUUUUUUAUUUAUAUUUUAAAUUUAUAUUAUUUUAGGGAUAAGCUUGAAAUUUUUAUAUAAUAAUUAUUUAAUUUAAUAAUUUAUAGGAAUAGAAAUUUGUAUUUGAAGUUUGUAAAAAUUUGUUAUUAGUUUAAUUUUAAUUUAUUAGAAUUUGUUUAUUUAUAUUAUUAAAUUUUAUAAAUUAAUUUUUUAUUUAUAGUAAUAAUGAUUAAAUUAGUAUAAUGUUAAUUUAUAUAAUAUGAAUUCGGCAAAUAUUAUUUUUAUCUGUUUAACAAAAACAUUGUAUUAAGUUUUAUUUAAUAUAGGAUCUGCUCAAUGAUUUAUUAAAUAGCUGCAGUAUUUUGACUGUGCAAAGGUAGCAUAAUAAUUAGUCUUUUAAUUGAAGACUUGUAUGAAAGAUUUGAUAARAAAUAAACUUUAUUUAUUAUAUAAUUAGAAUUUUAUUUUUAAGUAAAAAAGCUUAAAUAUUUUAAAGGGACGAUAAGACCCUAUAAAACUUAAUAUUUAGUAUUUUUUWUUUUUUUUGGUAUAUAUAAAUUUAAAUAUUAUUAAUUAUUUAAAUGGGGUGAUGAAAAAAAUUUUUAAACUUUUUUUACAAUUUGACAUUGUUUAAUGGUAAUUUGAAUUAAAAUUUUUGAUUAUAAGAAAAAGUUACUUUAGGGAUAACAGCGUAAUUGAUUUUUUAAGUUCAAAUUUAAAAAUUACUUUGCGACUUCGAUGUUGAAUUUAGAUUAAUCUUAGGUGCAAAAUUUUAAGUAUUAGGUCUGUUCGACCUUUAAAUUCUUA